AGUGAACGCUGGCGGUAGGCCUAACACAUGCAAGUCGAACGGCAGCACAGUAAGAGCUUGCUCUUACGGGUGGCGAGUGGCGGACGGGUGAGGAAUACAUCGGAAUCUACUUUUUCGUGGGGGAUAACGUAGGGAAACUUACGCUAAUACCGCAUACGACCUACGGGUGAAAGCAGGGGAUCUUCGGACCUUGCGCGAUUGAAUGAGCCGAUGUCGGAUUAGCUAGUUGGCGGGGUAAAGGCCCACCAAGGCGACGAUCCGUAGCUGGUCUGAGAGGAUGAUCAGCCACACUGGAACUGAGACACGGUCCAGACUCCUACGGGAGGCAGCAGUGGGGAAUAUUGGACAAUGGGGGCAAGCCUGAUCCAGCCAUACCGCGUGGGUGAAGAAGGCCUUCGGGUUGUAAAGCCCUUUUGUUGGGAAAGAAAAGCAGCAGGUUAAUACCCCGCUGUUCUGACGGUACCCAAAGUAUAAGCACCGGCUAACUUCGUG
rnacentral:rRNA from 1 species